rnacentral:misc_RNA from 1 species
AACGCACAUUGCGCCCCCCAGCACCCUGGAGGGCAUGCCUGUUCGAGCGUCACUACAACACUCAAGCUCUGCUUGGCGUUGGGGAGCCACGGCGCUUAGCCGCCGUGGGCCCUGAAAAUUAGUGGCGGGUCUGCGAAGGAACCCGGACGAAGUAGCUAUUACAACGUCUAGGGCGCUGAGCAGGUUCCGGCCAUAAAACCGAAGGCCGCAUUACGCGGCUGGACAAUGAACGUGUUGACCUCGGAUCAGGUAGGAAUACCCGCUGAACUUAA